rnacentral:rRNA from 1 species
UACGUAGGGUGCAAGCGUUGUCCGGAUUUACUGGGCGUAAAGGGUGCUCAGGUGGCUUGGAAAGUCAGUGGUGAAAUCUGAGAGCUUAACUCUCAAACUGCCAUUGAUACUUCUUAGCUUGAGUACGGAAGAGGCUGAUGGAAUUUCAGGUGUAGCAGUGAAAUGCGUAGAUAUCUGAAAGAACACCAGUGGCGAAGGCGGUCAGCUGGUCCGUUACUGACACUAAAGCACGAAAGCGUGGGUAGCAAACAGG